UACAGAGGUCUCAAGCGUUGUUCGGAUUCAUUGGGCGUAAAGGGCGCGUAGGCUGCGGGGCAAGUCGGGUGUGAAAUCUCAGAGCUCAACUCUGAAACUGCACUCGAUACUGCUUUGCUCGAGGACUGGAGAGGAGAUUGGAAUUCACGGUGUAGCAGUGAAAUGCGUAGAUAUCGUGAGGAAGACCAGUGGCGAAGGCGGAUCUCUGGACAGUUCCUGACGCUGAGGCACGAAAGCUAGGGGAGCAAACAGG
rnacentral:rRNA from 1 species